UUACGGCCACAUCACCUGGAAAUACCGGUUCUCGUACGAUCCCUGAAGUUAAGCAAUGUCGAGCCUGGUCAGUAAAUGGGUGACUGCUUGGGAAUACGAGGUGCUAU